AUCUUCUUCAUUUGGAAGAAACCAGAAAGGGGAGAAGUCAUAGUUAGGGUUUUCAAGCUUCCAAGCUCCAUAAUCAAGAAGAACGAAACUCGAGGUUAGACAAAGGGAAGAAUAAAGUUGAAGACUAAGUUGGUGAAUUGGGCUAUAUUUGGUACUGAGUAUUGCAAAGCUACUUCAAGGAUCCUAAAGAAGUCGGAGAUCGUCCACACUAUCAACCACAAUUGCUCGGUAUUUUAUGAUGAAACACGUUUGAGUUAUGGCAUGUAUAGGGAUUUAGUUAUUUUGCAUGUUUGUAAUUAUGAUUUUGCUAACGAAUGAUGUGUAAGCAUUUUAUGAUGUAUGGUCAUUAAAAUGGUUAAGUA